GACGUCAAGUCAGCAUGGCCCUUACGUCCGGGGCUACACACGUGCUACAAUGGCCGGUACAAAGGGUUGCGAAGCCGUGAGGUGGAGCGAAUCUCAAAAAGCCGGCCUCAGUUCGGAUCGGAGUCUGCAACCCGACUCCGUGAAGUUGGAUUCGCUAGUAAUCGCGCAUCAGCCAUGGCGCGGUGAAUACGUUCCCGGGCCUU
rnacentral:rRNA from 1 species